rnacentral:tRNA from 1 species
AGUAGAAUGGCUGAGGGAAAGGUGAUAGAUUGUAAAUCUAUUAAGGGGUUUAUAACCCUUCUACUA